rnacentral:misc_RNA from 1 species
UUCAUUUUCUUCCUUUUACACUUGCUGCAUUUAUACCAAGCUCGACUGGUAAACUUAACUAGGUAAAUAACAAGUCUAACUUCCCUUAGAAAAUGUACACUGAAAUCAAAUCUAAACCCUCAUUUUAAAUGUUGAAAUCGAAUACUUGGAUUUCGUCGGAUUUGAACCUAAAUACAAAUCAAAACUCAAAAAGGUUCAACAAAUUUUCUAAGUGCCUUCGUUUACCAAGGCGCCAGUUUGAGGCACUGGUUCGAAAGGGCAUGGGUUCGAAUUUCAUUGUUGACAUCACAUUAAAUUAGCUUUUGCAUAAUUACAAUUAGCAUAGCAAAAACUGGAAAAACGACAGCACGAUAUUGACGAGAUCUGUCAAAUUCUGAUAUUCAAACACCAAAUUCAGAGUAAUUAAUAUUUAACAUUAAAAUUUUUCAUUUUUAUGAUUUUGAUCAUCAACUGUGAAUUCCACUUGCUUUAUCAGACCCACAAAUCAAUCCUUCUCUUCUCAGCUUCUCUUCCUUAGAUUUUCUGCAAAAAAUAACCCAAGAAUUCACCUCCAAAGCUAUGCAAGUUCCCACCAACGUAGACAAACACAAGCAAUAUCCCAGCUUAGCAUAUGACCUGCUCUCUCCCAUUACUUCAAAUCCUUGAAAAACAUUCACAACUCCUAGCACCACACAAGCGUAUCCCACAAAAUGGUGGUAAGAUUUCCAGUAUUUCCUGUAUUUGUUUAUAGUCUCCACAGGAAGCUUGGAUUCGCAGUGUUCUGCUUGGGGGCUCUGCAAACGCUGGCUCUGCUGUUUAG